GCCGGGCGUGGUGGCGGGCACCUGUAAUCCCAGCUACUCAGGAGGCUGAGACAGGAGAAUUGCUUGAACCCGGGAGGUGGAGGUUGCAGUGAGCCGAGAUUGCGCCACUGCACUCCAGCCUGGGCGACAGAGCGAGAUUCUGUCUCAA
rnacentral:SRP_RNA from 2 species